GACGAACGCUGGCGGCGUGCUUAACACAUGCAAGUCGAGCGGAAAGGCCACUUCGGUGGUACUCGAGCGGCGAACGGGUGAGUAACACGUGAGUAAUCUGCCCUUGGCUUUGGGAUAGCCACCGGAAACGGUGAUUAAUACCGGAUACGACCACUUCUCGCAUGGGAUGGUGGUGGAAAGUUUUUCGGCCAGGGAUGUGCUCGCGGCCUAUCAGCUUGAUGGUGAGGUAAUGGCUCACCAUGGCUUCGACGGGUAGCCGGCCUGAGAGGGUGAACGGUCACACUGGGACUGCGACACGGCCCAGACUCCUACGGGAGGCAGCAGUGGGGAAUAUGGGACAAUGGGCGGAAGCCUGAUCCAGCAACGCCGCGUGAGGGAUGACGGCCUUCGGGUUGUAAACCUCUUUCGCCUAUGACGAAGCGCAAGUGACGGUAAUAGGUAAAGAAGCACCGGCCAACUACGUGCCAGCCGCCGCCGUAAUAC
rnacentral:rRNA from 1 species